rnacentral:rRNA from 1 species
AUUGAACGCUGGCGGCAUGCCUUACACAUGCAAGUCGAACGGCAGCACGGGAGCAAUCCUGGUGGCGAGUGGCGAACGGGUGAGUAAUAUAUCGGAACGUGCCCAGUCGUGGGGGAUAACGUAGCGAAAGCUACGCUAAUACCGCAUACGAUCUAUGGAUGAAAGCGGGGGACCGCAAGACCUCGCGCGAUUGGAGCGGCCGAUAUCAGAUUAGGUAGUUGGUGAGGUAAAGGCUCACCAAGCCGACGAUCUGUAGCUGGUCUGAGAGGACGACCAGCCACACUGGGACUGAGACACGGCCCAGACUCCUACGGGAGGCAGCAGUGGGGGAUUUUGGACAAUGGGCGCAAGCCUGAUCCAGCAAUGCCGCGUGCAGGAUGAAGACCUUCGGGUUGUAAACUGCUUUUGUACGGAACGAAACGGCGAGCUCUAAUACAGUUUGCUAAUGACGGUACCGUAAGAAUAAGCACCGGCUAACUACGUGCCAGCCGCCGCCGUAA